GGGAGGCUGAAGAAAUGAGGAAGUACAUCGUGGAGCUGGCAGCUCUGCAGGCAGGAGGGGUGAGUGGACACCCUAGAAAAAUGGGGCCAACAGCUGGGCGAGAUGGAAAGAAGAUUGGGCUCCAGGAAGAAGACUGGGAGAAGGGCCUGCCCCAGAGGUCUGUGACUCAGGUACUGAAAAGAGCAGUCAGCAGACUGGGUGUGGAUGGGCUCACAUUAGGGAUUUUUUUUGUGGGGGAGGGGGUACUAGGGACUGAACUCAGGGGCAAUCAACCACUGAGCCACAUCCACAGUCCUUUUUUUUUGUAUUCUAUUUGGAGACAGGGUCUCACUGAGUUGCUUAGCACCUCACCAUUGCUGAGGCUGGCUUUGAACUCAGGAUCCUCCUGCCUCAGCUUCCCGAGUUGCUGGGAUUAGAGGUGUGGACCACCAUGCCCGGCUGAUACCAGGUUUAAAAGAAAAGUCAGGCCUUGCCAUUCUUCUGCUCAAAACUCUUCAAUGGAUUGCCAUCUCAUUUAAAAACAAAAGAAUCUGGAGUUCUUGCUCCACAAGGAUUCCAUGGUCCAAGCUUUGCUAUUUCUUCUUAUUUUCUUUAACUCUUUUCCUUGCACCCAUGGACCAGAAACACUGAUGUUCUUAGAUUUUUUUUUUUUCUGCCAUGCCUUGGAUCAAACCCAGGGGCUUGUGUCUCCUAAGUAACAUCUCCAGCCUCUUGGAGUUCAUAGCAGGUGCUGGGUUCUGCCUUGGAAACACCCUUCCCUUUGUUCAAGCCUCUGCUGCCAUUUUGCCCUCUCAGAGGUCUUCUAUGAUGGGGCCAGCCACACUCCAGGCUUUCUUCCUCCCUUGUCCGAAUUAUUUCCCCUGUAGUGCUUCCAGCCUCUGGACCUUCUGUUGUGAAUGGGACUGUUUGAAGUCUGUCUCCUCCACGGGUAUGUGAGCUCCUCAAGGACGAGGGGCGGUGCUUCGUUCUGCAUGGUGUGCUGUGUGCAUCUUGACUGACACAGUAUCGGAUGAAUGAGUGGAGGGGUGAAGGAACGAAGAGAUGGGAGCCAAAGUGAUGUCAGACGUGUUGGAACUGUAAACUCUGGGAACUGCUCCUGGCUCCUGGGACUCUCCUUGGACUCUUGUUCCCCCACAUCUCAAAGUUCUACUUUUCCCACAAUUUCACAGAGAAUUUUUGGUUGGAUAGAUGCAUUGAGAAGGAAAGGGAGGUGAGGGGCAGAGGUGCAGGACCCAAUCUUUUCUCCAGCAAAGAUGCUGUGGAGGAGACCAGCCCAAUCCCUGCUGGAGAGUGCCCAGCGCCAGCAGGUUGUGCUGGGGCCUUGCUGGCUUGAUUCUGGACAACAGAGGCCAAGCAGUAGCUGCUGGGCUCUUCCCCAGUCCAGCAGUGUUAGGUCUGGUGGAGGUCUGUCCCAGGGAAGGGGAGGACACCAUGGACCAGUAGAAAGGACAUGUCAGACUCGUGAAAUCUUAAGCAGAACCCCAGUUUUUCACUUAUUUCUGAAAAACUUAGAAAGGUAUGAUCCUCAUCCAUUAGCUAAAAUACAUGUGGACUUCAAAAAUCAGACCAUGUAGAUGAUCAAUAAUUAUUCCAAAGUAACUCAGUGACUCAUCCUAUCCCUCCCUCCAUGCCUCACCCCCCUUUUCUUGUGGUGAUGGGGAUCAUGCAUGCUGAGCAAAUGCUCUACCAUUGACCUGCACCCCCAGCCUUGGUUCAUUCUUUUCUGAACACCAGGAAGCAUGUCAUCACCAACAGCAGCCCUAUCCCUCUUUUCUCACUCCCACUCACUGCAGAUGUACACCAGCAUAUCCACACUGUAUGUGCUACUCACCUGUUAGUCGAUAGCUGUCUCAGUUAUUAUAUCAACUGUCCGGGUAUCACAGUGCUUAUUAUAUUCAAGUAAUCCUUAUUUUGCUUAAUAAUUGUCCCAAAGUGCAAAAGUAGUAAUGCUGGCAUUUUUUUUUACAAUAUAUGUUACAAUUGUUCUAUUUUAUUUUUAGUUAUUGCUAUUAAUCUUUUACUGUAUCUAAUUUAUAACUAAACUUUAUCAUAGAUGUGUAUACACAAGAAAAGAUACAGUAUAUAUAGGAUUUGGUAAUAGCUACAGUCUCAGGCACCUGCUGGGGAUCUUAGAAUGUAUCUCUUGUGCAUAAGUCAUCUUUCCAUGUGUUAGUCAUCAUUCUAUGACUAUAACAAAAUGCAUGUGAUAAUUAACUUAUAAAGAGAAGAGGUUUAUUUUGUUUCUGUUGCUCUGGGCUUGUGAUGAGAUGGCACAUCAUGGUGAGAGCAUAGGGCAGAGCAAAAUCAGUCUCCUCAUUGCUAGGAAGCUAGAGAAAGAGGAAUGGGCCAGGGUCCCACAAUCACCUUUGAGGACCUGUUCCCAUCAUCUGAGGCCUCCUCAUUAGGCCCCACCUCUGAAAGCUCCCACCACCUUCCAAUAGCUCCACCCCGGGGGACCCAGCUUACCUCUCAAAGCAGAGAGGCAGAUGGCUUCCCGUGUACCUUGCUUUCCCUCUGCUGAGGCUGCCCCAGAUCACACAGGAAUGGGUCAGAAUCUCAGAGUCCACGGAUAGGAAUGGAUGCUUCUCCCAGAGACAGUCUCUGAUGCACAGGAGAGGCACACCUGGGUGCUGGGGAGAGGGUGCCCAGCAGGAGGGGGAGGCCAGAAGGUCUGUGGGCUGAGAGGGGCAGCGAAGGGGAGCAGAGUUCGCCAGCCAGGUAUGGACACUCAACCAUGCAGGACAACUGUGUGAACCUUGACUCCACGCUCCACGUGUGCGGCAUGGUGGCUGGAGGGGAGACUUGUCCCUGACCCGGGUUAAGCUGAACAUUCCCUCUGAGCUAAGGUGACAGCCACAGCCAUGGUGGCCCUCAAAUGUGAAGCUGCCAUUUGCCCUUCCCCUGAGAACCCUGCCCAUUGCUGCCUCUUCUGCUGGGAGGUCCCAGCUGUACCAUCACCUGUGCUGGUGACGGCUGCUCCGUGGAAGCGUUCCCUGGUUACGGACUGAGGACUGACGGAUGUUUUGGUCAUUCCUGGUGUUUGGAGGCAUGGGAACACUGCUGCAGAGCACCUGCUGGCCCAGCUCUCCUUGUGCCCGUGGGUGGGAGGGUGUUAUGGACUGGAUGUGUCCCCUCACCCCACUGGCUCCAUCCCACCCUGCCAAAUUCUAAUCCCCAACGUGAUGGUAUUAGGAGGUAGUGGCCUUUUGGAGGUUACAGGUCCUAAAAGUGGAAACCCCAUGAAUGAGAUUUGCACCCUUAUAAAAGGGACCCCACAGAGUUCUCUCAUCCUUCUUCCUCUUUCCACCACGAGGGCCUAUCGUGAGUGGUUGGCUGUGACUUGGAAGAGUCAUCACUAGAACUAGAACAUAUUGGCACCCUGAUCUUGGACUUCCAGCCUCUGGAACUGUGAGGAACAAGUUUCUAUUGUUUCAUGGCCAGCCUUUGGGACUUUGUUAUAGUGGCUUGAGCUGGCUGGGGACAGAGCUUCCUGAAGUCACAGCUCUGGGUUCUCAUGUGAGCUCUGCUGUUGUCUACAAAUUAAAGACUUUCUCUAAAAGCAUCCAAGAUAGACCUUGUCAGAACAUCCACCUCUGCACUUGGAUUCCCACGGAUUUACAAGGGUUGUUCACGAACACAUUUCUUUUCCUCACGAAAGGGGGAUAUUAUAGCAAUUCCUGAAAUCAGUUCCUGCUGGGGGUCCAUGUUUCUCAGAGCGGUUGGUACUCCAGGAGGGAGAAGAUCUGAUAUAGACCUGAGGGCCGAUGAGGAUGAGGCCAUGUCCUUGGUGCAGGGGGCUGGCCAGGUCUGCAGGGGGAGAUGUGGCCUCUCAGGAAACCUGUCUGCCCUUUCUGCCCUUCUCCCCGGGGGCUGUUUUGUUGACUUGUGUAGGAGGUAAAGGAAGCCAACGGUUUGGGGAAAGUCCUGCUGAUACAAAACAAACCAUUUCAAACUUAGUUUCCAGCUGUCAGCAGGAAGCACCAUGUGGGCUGGUUGUGUUCAGACCUGCCUCCAGCCUGAUGUGAAGAACAGGUUGUCACCUGUUCUUGCUCAUAAGCAGCUCAACAUUUAUGUCUAGUUUUAUAGGUGCCAAGGGCCCAUUUCCGUUCAUUACCUGCUAUGCCACACAACAAUUCUACCAGGGCAGGUAAUGACGCCCAAUUUACAGACAAGGGGAAUUGGGUUUGAAGUGUGUGGUACCUUUCCCAGAGCUAGCUCCUUCCCACCGAAUCAAGGGAACAUGUUGCAAUUCCCAAGUCAUUGACUCUUAGGUGCCUUCUAAGCACUGUGAGCGGGGUUGGUGUAAACCAACUCAUAACGCAGGGGUUCUUUCCCCCCAGAAGCAUGCUCCCUGCUAGAUCUAGGGGCCUCUCUAGGAAGGUCCCUGAUGAUGGCCUCUGCUCUGGUAUCCAUGUUAACCUGGCAAGGGGCUUCUCCCCUCGGCUAUGGCCAAGCAGAUUCAAGGUGAAAGAUAUGAAGAAAGGGAAUGUUCAUAUAGAGGGGGCGGGCAACAAGUUAAUCCAAUCAUUUCAGAAACAGCUUGUGAGCAUCUAGGACAGCUGGAGCACACUGCCACCUGGAAGCCCCUGUGCAGGUACCAGGCCACACACAUAACUGCCUUGGAGGCUUCUUUUCAUUCCUUUUUUUUUUUUUUUUGUGGUGUUGAGGAUUGAACCCAGGGCCUUGUGCAUAUGAGGCAAACACUCUACCAACUGAGCUAUGUCCCCAGCCAACUCUUUAUUUUCUUUUCUUUCUUUUGUUACCUGGAAUUGAAUCCGAGGGUGCUUAACCACUACACUGAGACAUCCCAGACUUCCUUUUUUUAAAAAAAAAAAAUUUUGUUUAGAGACAGGGUCUCACUAAGUUGCUUAGGGCCUCGCUGAGUUGCUGAGGCUGGCUUUGAACUUGCGAUUCUCCUGCCUCAGCCUCCCAAGCUGCUGGGAUUACAGGCAUGAGCCACUGUCACUGCACCUGGCUCUUUUCUUUCUUUCUUUCUUUCUUUCGGGAAUUGAACUCAUUUUUUUUUAUUUUUUUUUUUUAGUUUUUGGCACCAGGGAUUGGACUAGGGCACCGGACCACUGAGCUACAUCCCCAGCCCUUUUUGGUUAGCAAGUGGAUGAAGAAGUGUGGGAUGUGAUCGCAGUGCAGACUGCAGGGCUGAGGAGCCGUGAAGAUGAAUGAACUGGGGUCAACACCUCACUAUGGGUAUCUUCAGCACCUGAAGUUCAAUAAAAAAAGAAAGUCUCAGAGAAACAAGCACAGUGGAACGCCAUCCAUAUAAUGCUCAGAAAUCCACAAACUAAGAGAACCUCCAGGGAGCAUACGAAUGGAGUGAAACUACUGAAAUAAAGGAGGGAGGGCUAAAUGCCCAAACAGAAGGAGUGGUCUCCUUGGACAGGGAGGGAGGGCCAGAGGCCAGGGAGGGAUCUGCAUGAGCUUCUGCUGCUUGGGUGAUGUUUGAUUUCUUGAACUGAGUCAUUGGUCCAUUAGGAUUAGUUCUGUUAUUAUUCUUUAACUUUUGCAUCUAACAGCAUGUGCCCGCACACACACACACACACACACACAUAAUGUGCCUAUAUAUGUAGUGUGUAGGAAUAUCUAUAUAUGCAGACAUACGUAUAUACAUUUGUUCUUGAUUUUGUAUGAAUUAAUUAGUAUUGGAAAAAUACACAAAUUAAACCACUUCUGUGAGACUCGACCCUUUCCAGAGCACCACACUUUCCUGCCUAACUUAAAGGCCCUUCACAUUCUGUCCCCUCCAGACUCCUAACAUCAGCCACACUAACCUUGCAUUGUGUCAGGGACGGUCCUGAGUGCCCUAUGUUAUCCCACCAUAUUUAAUUCCAAUAACAACUCUGCAAGACAGGAACUAACUACCAUCAUUCGUAUUUUAUGUGUGCGGACACUGAGGCCCAGAGAGGUGAACUGAACAGGUCAAGUUCGUGCGGCUGCUAGGGGCAGAGGCAGUGCCUGCGCCUGUAUGGUCUGAUGGGAGAGUGCAAAUGCCGGACGGGUCGUCCUCUGGCUUUCCCUCUGUCUGCUGGUGCCUUUCCUCUCACCACUUCACGACCUUCCCACCAGGCCUUACCGUGUGUGCUUCUUGGAUGGGAAAGGUCUUUCCAGGUAUAGACUACAGAGUAUCGCGACCACGAACUUCUACUUAAACAAGGGUCAAAUAAGUGGGGCAAACUCUGAAUAGUAACACUCACUCUCAGAGCGUUACCAUUCUCUUCCCCAAUCCUGCAACCUUUCUAGUUGUGUCAAGCAACCUGGCUCUGAUUUAUAUAUGCCCAGUUUGGUUUAAGGAUGUCUCUGGGAAAUGGGAAGAAAGUUUUGUGAGCUGGUCUCUAUUCCUCAAUGAGAUGUUAAAUUCCUUGUGGGCAGGGACGAAAUCCUGGGCUCCUUAUGCCUCCUUUCAUCCCCAGGUGUGAAUAUGGUUCUUGGUAAGUUCCUAAAACAUGGAGAAAGGAGCAGGUAAUUUGAGAGCUCUAAGACUACAAAAGUAUUGGCACAGGAACUUGGGCCUUCAAAGCCUUGUGUUCGGGGGUCCCUGGGCACAUCCAACUUUGCAAGAGGUGCUGUUUCUCACCCAUGUGAAGGACAGAGGUUUAGAACUUCUGCCUGAAGCAGGGGAGAAAGACCUUUAGUGACUUGGGGUUCAAUCUCCCCACCCCCAAACCCUCCAACAGGCUGUGUUGCCUAAGACCAAAAUGCAUCAGCACCCCAGCAGGUGAAUUUAACUUCAGCCUCUGUGGACUCAGAGAACUUGCCUGUCUACUGCCUUGUCUGUCUCUGAGAACCCACUGUGCUCUUGUCUAAGGAGCUCAGGAGAAGAUGGCGUUGUGCACACGUUUGUGGAAAACAAUUUUGAGGGUUGGUGAAAUAUGUUCCACUUGAUCCCUCUCUUGGGUAGUUAAAGUGAAGGGAGCAUCUUCCUUUUUCAAUCUCAUUCCUUUAAACCCUCUAAGGUUUCCCCAUUUAUACCAAAUUAAUGCCAUGUAACUAUAAGCCAUUAAUAUAACCCAAAAUGUAAUUCAUCUCUCUAUUCUUCCUCCUGCGUUAAUGCUCUAUUGCUGCUAUAACAAAUUAUCACAAAUGCCAUGGCUUAAACCAGCCCCAGCUCAUUAUCUGACGGUCUUGGAGGUUGGAAGUCUGAUGUGGGCCUCACGGAGCUGAACUCCCUCUGUGAGGAAGAUGCAGAACAGAUUCUUCCUCUCUCCAGCCUCUGGAGACCUCAGCUCUUGCUCCUUUCUCCACCUUCAGCAUCCUGACUGCCAUGUCUCUUAAGGACACAUGGGAUUAAAUUGGGCUCAUCUGGAUAAUCCAGGAUCACCUCCCUACCCCAACAUCCUUGAUUGUAACCCCUUCUGCGAAGUCUCUUUGCCAGGUAAGGGAACAUAUCCACAGGUUCUGAGGGUAAGGGCAUUAGUGUCCUUGGGAGCUGAGUCUGUCUACCACAUUCUGCUAAUUUUUAGGAAGAGUUUGAGGAAUGAGGUAGGGAAGUGAUUGUGUGACCAGGAAACGUGAUGUAUGCAAGUCAGCUGUGUCCCGCAAACUCACCAUGUUUCCCUGAAAGUCCUAAGUCAAGAAAAGCUGCAGGGAAGUUUGAAAGGAAGGGGGUUUGGGGGAAGCUGUAGUCAUCCCCUCUUGAAGUGUUCCGAUGGGUGGUGGAUUGUCAUUCCAGAGGAAGUGUUGGCUGGUAUGUGGAAUAUAUUUGCACUCCUUGACAUGAAUCUUGUUCUUCUCAGUGACUGUUACAGAGUGGGGCAGACUGGAAGUGUCUGGGACCUAGAACCAGACCAAUGGCCAGGAUGAGGCAGGUCCCUGGCAAAUGCUAAGGAAGGGUCUAAGGGUCGGCACAUCCAGUGGGCAUGCAAAGAAUGGCUACUGGAAAUCAGGGGUAGAUGUCUCUGUGCCCAAAGGUUGGGUAGUCCAGCAGCAGUCUCAGGGAAGCCUGUGGAACAGGACUCUGAUCCUUAGGAAAGGCGGGUGUUGUAAUUUGAAUCUUAAAUAUCCUCCAAAGAUCUAUGUGUUAAAGGUUUGUUCCCUGGGGUGGUGGCUUUGAGUUUGUUUCCCAGGGGGGUGGCUUUGGGAGGUGGCAGAUACUUGAGGAGGUGGUGCCUAUUGAGAGAUUUUAGGUCAUGGGAGUGUGCCCUUUGAGGAGUUGCAGGACCCCAGUCUCUUCUUCUUUGUUUUAUACCUCAACCAUGAGGUAAGCAGAUUUGCUCCACCAUGUACUCCUGCCAUGAUGAUCCUUGCCACAGGCCCAAAAAGCAAUGGGGCCAACUUAUCAUGGACUAAAACCUCUGAAACUGUGAGCUAAAAUAAACCUUCUCUCUUUAUAGGUUGAUUGUGUCAGGUAUUUUGUUAUAGUAACAGAUAAUGAACUAACACAAGUGCUGUAAAACUAAGACAGAACCAAGACCUUGAAGAAUACUGAUGCAAGACCCAAGACUGAGACAAGGACAGGCUCAGAGAACAUUGCAGAAGCUGGGAUUAUAGGGGCAGAUCAUGGCAGUGCCCCUCAAUGGUGGGUCUUUGUCACUGUAGAGAAAGUACAAGCCUGUACGGUGUUUGCACUCAAUUCUGCAUGGAAUGGGACUUCCUUAAAUACUUCAGGGUGUUUGCCAUCCCUGGUUCCUUCCUCAUAGAUGCCAGGAACCACCCUAAGCCGUUUUACCAACCACAGAUGCUCUCAGACAGUUUUAAAUGUCCCCUAAUGGGUUCAUAAUGCUCCUGAGCCUAGGUGGUAAGCCAGCCAGGCCUAGGAGUGAGGAAAGAGGCAUUAGUGUUGUUGAGAAAUGGAUUUUUUUCGAGGCUUCUGUGUGCAGUUCCUCUAUUCUCCCAGCCAUCUCCCUUCUUCCUUCCUUCUUCUCAACACUGCCCUGUUUUCUUUUCCACCACAUCAGCACCAGCUGAGAACCUGCUGUUUUCUGUGGGUGGUUGCAAGAGGACCCUAGAUGACUUUCCUUCCUCCUGCCCCUCCCUCCCCUCAGUGGGGCUCUGCAUGCCUCCUGGAUCAUCCUCAAAGCUCAGGUCUCAUCAUCUCUGCUAUUGUCCAGUUAAUGAGUCCUCUGGGGUCCUCCCAGCCAGCCCACUGAAGGCCAGGUUUGGCUGGUGCUAGGGCCUUUAGCCAACCUUGCCGGGCCCCCUCCAGCUCUCGUUCCAGCCCUGGAGUCUAUGAGGCUCUUGGUUUUAAUGGUCCCUUCUACCUGGCACACCUUUUGUCACUUCUUUCUGCAAUCUCUACGUCACCGAGGUUCUCCCUAUGUUAUGGUUUAGAUAUGAGAUGUCCCCCCACCCCAAAAGCUCAUGUGUGAGACAAUGCAAGGAAGUUUAGAGGUGAAAUGAUUGGGUUAUGAGAGCCUAGACCUAAUCAGUGCAUUACUCCACAGACAGAGAUGGACUGGGUGGUGACUGUAGGCAGGUGGGGUGUGGCUGGAGGAAGUGGGUCAUGGGGGUCAUGGAGAGACGUGCCUUUGGGACAUAUAUUUUGUCUGUGGUGAGAGGAGUCUCUCUGUCUCUCUCUCCUUCCUGGUGCCGUGUCCUGAGCUGCUUUCCUCCACCACCCCCUUCCAUCAUGGUAUUUACCUCACCUCUGGCACCCAGUGAUGGAGCUGGCCAUCUAUAGAUUGAGACCUCAGAAACUGUGAGCCCCCAAAUAAACUUUCCCUUCUCUAAAAUUGUUCUUGUCAGGUUUUUUGGUCACAGAAGCAAAAAGGCUGACUAAAACAACCUAAAUCCUUCCUUUUGGGUAUCUAGAUCUUUUCAGGCCCAGUUUAAAUGCCACUCUACCCAGACAUCAGGAAAGCAUACCAGCUAAGUACUGAUUCAAUACUUUUAUUUUGUUCAGUGGAAAAAUCUGAGUUAAUGGACAAACCACUCUGAACAGCAGAGGGCUCUUAUGUACAUAGCACACGACUUUGCCUGCAUUAGAGCAAUACCACAGGUGUGCAAACCACUGUCACCAUCCCUGUGCCUUGAUAGGUAUGAAUUAUGUCAGGUCUAGUUGCUGUGCUAAUGGACACAAUUUCCUGGUGCUGUUAAAAGGAGCAAAAUGAGACAGAGUCUGGGGAAAGUGUUGUAGCAACUCUAAAGGGAGAUACAAAUGGAAAAUAUUAUUAUUAAUCAGUAAACCCGCAGGAGCAGUAACUGCCCCUUGAGAUUGCUGUAAGAUGAAUGCACGGAGGCUCACAGAGGUGCCACCAGCUGUGAAGUGCCACCAGCUGUGAAGUGCCACCAUCUGUGAAGUGUCACCAGCUGUGAAGUGCAGUGCAAAUGCUUGUUGUUUGCUACCAACUUGCAGGGAGCACUGUUCCUCCAGCUUGUCCUCUCUCCAGAAUUUCAGACCUGCAUCUCUACUGCUAGGUGUGAAACCCCUCCCUAAGGUUCAAUAGGCACCUCAAAAUUAAUGGGGCUCAAACAGAACUCGUGAUCCAGUGUCCACUCAACAACCCAGGCCCCAGAUCAAAUCCAGGAUUCUGUUCUUUUCCCCAUUUUGCUAAUUGAAAGCAAGACCUGCCCACUCUCCUUCCAAGGCUCAUCCUGACCCUGUCCUCCUUGCUCUGUCUUCUCAGCUUCUAACCUGACAGAAGCCACCAUGAUUGCCAGCCUGACCCCUGCCAGGAGCCCCCUAGUGGUCCUGUCUUCCUCCUUCAACCCAUUUCUCAGACAGCCAGAGUGUCCUUAUAAAAGGAAUCAAAUCGUGACACUCCCUUGUUCUGUGCCCCCUGGGGGCAUGUCCAUUACACAAAAUAAAAAUCCAGAUCCUUGCCCAGGCUUUGAAGGAGCCACCUUGUCAGGUCCCUUCUGACCUUCAUGGACUCCCCCCCUACCACUCUCCUUCUUGUACUCCAUCCCCACCCUUUCUGUCCACACUGUGGACACUACACAUGUUGAUUCCUCAUUUUCCAUGGCUGGCUUCCUUGAUGCAGCCAAUUCUCAGCUUAGAUGUCUCCUCAGAGAGGCCCUCGCUGAUCUCCCAAUCUAAACCCUCCCUACCUGAACUAUCUAUGAAAUAAUCGUCACCAACCACAUCAUGCAAUAAACCAUUGACGUUCAAAUCCCGUCUUGUGAUACAACUCCAUUAGUAGGGUCACCAAGGUGGUGCACCAUUACUUCUUUGGCAUUAAACAAUAUAAGAAAAGAAUAAAGAAAAGGUUUUUAAACAUAAGCAAAAGCACAAAUUGUAAUAGGGAUAUCAUAAUUAAGGAUAUCAACCUUAAUGUUGCCCUUCCACUCAACAUUGAUGACUCCUCUUGGUGAUUUUAGAAUCUGGGGGAAAAUCCACACUAGAUAUGACUCUGGAUGAAUUAUCCAUGGAAACCAAGAAACUGAUGAUGAAUUACCAAUGUGGAAUCAGAAUUCUUGCUGUAGGGAUGCCCCUGACACAUUUCAUAUGUUCAUUUCCAUAGUUAUUUAUCUCCAAACAUUUGCUUAGCAUCUCCUCUGACAAACGCAGAGGAAAUCAUGAUAGAUAAAACCAAUCCCCACUCCUUUCCCCCGCAUCCUUUCCACUCACCCCCUCUCUUAUGUUAAAUAUAAUCCAUGAAUAAAUAAAACUUUCCAAGCUUCUUCUUGAAUGCCUGUCUUGUUUAUUUGGGAGGAAAUUGCAAUUACUGGGUAGUUGAACUGUCAUCAUUGUGACUUCAAAUUAAUGGGGCUCAAACAGAACUCUUGAGUUCUGUUUAACCAAUGCAUGGUCUUUGGGAAGAUGCACCUCAGCCUUUUAAGGAGAGAAUCCACUGUCCCUGUGGAAAAAUCACCCAAGUCCUUACAUGCCUUUUGAAGUCUUCUGGAAAAUUAACAGGGCAAAUAGGACUGCUUGGGAACCUCCUGCCUUCAGACAUCCUCCUCCUGACUCAAACGCAUCUACCUUAUGUCAGAGACCAGCCCUCCAAACAUAGACACUCCCUCUCCAGCCUUGCUUCCCUCUCCCUGCCCAUCUCCAGUGAGAACUGGUAAAUCUAGGGAAUAAUGUUUGAUGAAGGUAAUUUAUACACAUGUAUGAAUGUUGGAUGAUCUUAAAUCCCCUCAGUUGUACUUUUCUUUUGAGAAAGAACAUUAAUGGAACUCUUUUUAGGAACAAAUUAUUAGGAGAAUUCGUUUAAUUCAUAUUUUAGAGCAGGAUGGUGGGAGGAACCUCUUUGUUUCUUUCUGCUUACUAGCUGUGUUACCACAGGCAAGUGCUAAAUUUCUCUGUGCUCAGGUUCUUGUGUGUAAAAAUAGCCAUCAAAAAAAUACCUACCCCAUAAAGCUGUGUCAGCUCAUUAUCAUCACCACCAUCACCACUACCACCACCAUCAUCACCAACAUCAUCACCACCACCACUACCAUUAUCAUCACUACCAUCAUCACCACCACCACUACCAUCACCUCCACCACCACCACCACCAUCAUCACCAUCACCACCAUCACCAUCAUCACCACCACCAUCACCAUCAUCACCAUCACCACCAUCAUAACUACAACCAUCAUCACUAUCACUACCAUUAUCAUCACUAUCAUCACCACCACCCUUACCGUUACUACCACCAUCACUAUCACCUUCAUCAUCACCAUUAUUACCACCAACAAUAUCAUCAUCACCACCACCAGCAGUAGCCACAUCAUUUCCCCACCUUUCUUCAGAAGGUCUUAGAGCUAGUAUUGGAUUCUAAUAGCAUUGAAUUCAAUUUUAGGUAAGUUUGCAGUUUACUAAUGUCUCCACCAGGGGGCAGGCCAUGGAAAAGAAACAUUGCCAAAGUUAAAGUUAAAGGCAAGAAUUUACCCAAUUCUUAACAUUUUGAGCUUUAUAUAUGUAAAUUCUUCCAUACUGCUCCUGACAGAAACCAGCCUUUAUGUAUCUGCUAGAUGGUUGAUUUUUGCUUUAUUUCUCUGUCAGUGAGUUUCUCUUGUUCAGUGAAAUGCGCAUGAUUUUGAAUAUUUGAAUCCAGUAUUCCCCCUUUGUUCUACAUUCUAAAAUAUUUUGCAAACUGUGGGAAAAUGAAACUUGAUAUGAGUCAGUUGCAUUUUUUUUCCUGCCUGAAAGCGAUUUUGAUUUUAGGCUUCAGACAAAGGUGAAAGACGUGCAGAACAAGAUUGCUGACUCUGCAAACACCCAGCAUGCAGGACACCCUUUCCUCCUCUCCUGCUCAAUGAUGGCAUCGAGAGGGCGAUUGUCCUUGCUAAGACAAAGGCAGAGAGAGAACCUUCCCAACAGGGCCCUUCAGUGAGCUUCUGGCAAUCAAUGGCAUUUGAGAUAAAACCAAUUUGGUGGAAUAGAGAGGGCUGGAGAGAAUCUCAGGUGCAGGCACAGUUGGAAUGGAAGAGUAAUGUCUCGUGUUCCACAGCACCGGGCCGUGAACUGUGGUUGACAGCAAUUAAUUGAAUGUUUUAAAAUUGCUAAUAGAGGCGAUUUUGAAUCCUCCCAAAACAGAGAAAUGUUUUCUUGAGGUGAUAGGUAUACCGUCUACUCUUGUCUAAUCACUACACAUUAUACACACAGAUGGAAAUGUCACACUGGAUCCCAAAAGUAUGUAUAAUUACCAUGUGUCGAUUAAACAUAAAUAUAUUAAAUGUGAAUUCGGGUGGAGUUUAAUAUAUUCAACAUCAAUGAAGAUGUUCUUCGUUCUUCUUCCAUCACUCUUCAUUCACAGUAGAGUGGACAGGGCAUCCCAUUGUAAGGAUAAAUGUGCAGUGAUGCCUCAUGAGAACAAUUCUAUCCCCAGAGUGUUUAGAAACCUGUGGGGUACUUUUUGGUAAGCACAGUGUUGGGGCUGUGCCUGGCACUUACUAGGUCAAACCCCGGAUUGCUAGCCAUCCUGCAACGUGUGGGGUUUUCUCUCAUGAUGAGGAAUUGGCUCCUAGCCUGCAUUGUUUUUGAAUGUUUUGUUGGUCAUUCAUGUAGAUGAAAAACCUAAUGAUAAUAAUCUCAUGCCAGACCUGAACUCCAUUUUCUAUCUAACAAAUUAUUAUUUUAUUAACUUAAAUUUAUUUUUAUUCACUGUAUAAAACAUUAAGUCAUACAUAUUUAUGGAAAAUCAUGUGACGUUUCCAUCUGCUUGUUACAUUAUGUAACAUUGAAAUCAGGUUUAAUGCAAAUUGUAUUGGUACCCUUUUAAUAUUCCAGGUGUGUAACGACCAGAUAAAUUGAAACAACGUUGUGUUCACGUUUCUGAAAACUGCCUCGGAUUUGAGUUGCUGGUUGGCAUGCACUGGGCGCUGUCCAGUUCACAGGGAGUUGACAGGUGAAGGCAGGCAUGUGACUUCUUAUGGAUGUCUCCAUUUAGACAGGCAUGAGCACUUACACAGAUGUGUGGCCAUCAGCAUGGUAAAAUACGUGGUUCAAGUAUUUUAUCUUUAAAGAGGGUUCACUGAUAUAGACAAAGGGUUGCUUUUCUUAUUUCUGUUGAGGUGGGUGUUGGAGGCACUGUGUGCCGGUUUGGUGUGAAAAGCUGAGCUGGGUGGGAUGAGUAUGCGUAAAUCUGUGUCUUUAGUUUUUUGUCAUUAUUGUUUCUGUUGUGGUUGAUAAUUGUUUUUUUUUUUUUUUAGUGCAAAAGAUUGAACCCAGGGAUUUGCUCUGCUGCGAGUAGACCUCCAGCCUGUUGUUUUUCUGAUAGUGGUAAAUGACACAGGCCAAUCCACUUCCACUCUUCCACUCUCUCUAGGUCCACACAUUGCCCAAAGCAUAGAUUUGGGGGAGACAUGUCACCUAGAAAAGGCAGCACUAUGGUUCAGGAACGAGGUAAGAGUUACCAGUUGACACCCAUGAAUUCAAGGCAUGGAUGAGUCUUCAUUUCUAUCCCAGCUCACAAAGGAUUUUAGUUUUUUAAAUCAAUCUUAAUUGUAUGGCCUCUAAAAUAGACUUAGAAAUGAUAUCCUGUGACUACAUCUUCUUCCUUUGUCAAUAUUGGUUAAUUCAACAAAUACUUAUUAGCUUCUAUUUUAUGCCAGAGGUUUGGGGUGCUGAGGAUACAGUGAAGAACUUAGAUCCUUUUUGAUAGAGCAUUCUCCUAGGGAUUUCUUCUAAGGAAAUUAUGGGGGAAAUGUGCGAAGGUGGAUGAAAGAUACAUUAUCAGAACAACAACAACAAAAAUUAUUUAGAUGUUAAAAAACAACAACAAAAAAUCUAGACAUUAAAGAACAGAGGACUGAUUUUGGAAUUUAAUUACAUUUUAUACUAGGAAACUAUGCAGCCAUUAAAAUUAAAUUUAUAAUUACUAAGAUGAAGGAAUAAACUGGCAUACUUAGUGAAAAAGCUGAUUAUAUCAUUCAAUUCAAAACUUCUAUAUUUUACAUGCAUGUAUUUAUUUUUGUUUUUGUUUGGAAAAAUCUCUGGAAGCACAUGCUCCAACAAUAAGUUGCAUUCACUAAAUUUCUCUUUUUAAUUUUUUCCCAAAUAAUCGUGCAUUGACUAUGUAAUUUCAGAGUUGAUAUACUUUUCCUAAACAUUUAAAGGAAACAAAACUAAUGUAUAUAUUUGUUGCAUUAGUUUACAAGGGUGGCCAUAACCAAGUACCACAGACUGGGUGGUUUAAACAACAUAAAUUUAUUAUUUCACAAUUCUGGAGGCUGGAAGUCCAAGAUCAAGGUGUCUGCAAGGUUGGUGUUAUGGUUUAGAUAUGAGGUGUCCCCCAAAAGCUCAUGUGUGAAACAAUGCAAGGAUUUUCAGAGAUGAAAUGAUCAGAUUAUGAGAGGUGUGACCUAAUCAGUGGAUUGAUCCAUUGGUGGAUUAAUUGGGUGUAGGAUGUGGCUGGGGGAAGAAAGUCACUGGGAGCAUGCCUUUGGGAUUUACAUUUUGUCCUUGGUGAGUGGAACUCUCUCUUUGCUUCCUGGUUACCAUGUCCUGAGCUGCUUUUCUCUGCCACACUCUUCCGCCAUGAUGUUUUACUUCACCCUGGGCUCAAAGCUAUGUGUCAGCCAACCAUAGAUUAAACCUCUGGAACCAUGAGCCAAAAUAAACUUUUCCUCCUUUAAAUUGUUUUUGUCAGGUCGUUUGGUCACAGCGAUGAAAAUGCUGUCCAAGACAGCUGGUUUCUUCUGGGGCUUUUCUCCUUGCUGGUAGAUGACCACUUUCUCUGUGGGUCUUUAUAGGAUCCCUCUUGGUGUGUCUAGGUCCUCAUCUGUUCCUAAAAGGACAUCUGUCCUAUUGCAUCAGGUCCACCCCACUGACCUCAUUUUAACUUAUUCUUCUCUUCAGAGAUCCUGUCUCCCAUGCAGUCACCUUCUGAGGCACUGGGAGUUAGGGCUCCAGCCUGGGAAUUUUGGGAGGACACAAGCCAGCUCACAAGUCUUGCCUUCUAAAUAGGAGAAGGAGGCCCGUAGCUUUCACAUGAAGUUCCUUCUGCUUUAAAAACAUGCUCGCAGCAUAAAGAUAUGAUCAUGCCAAUAAUUAUUUUAUAGGAUGAUAAAAAUUAUUUUACAAAUUUAGACAUCGAUUUCCAAAACGGCUCUGGUGACAUGAAGAGGACUCAAGGGCAUGCUGCUUGCAGUCUCCUUCCUUGGCGGGCUCGUAGUCUGCGGUGUUGGAAUGGAGACUCCCUUCCUUCACCUGAGGGCAACAGCUGGUCAACCCACAGUAACUGGGCACCCACAGGGCAUGGUACAUUCUACUAGGUGUGGGGCACAUUAAAAUAAACAGAAACUCAACUCAUGCCCCUAAGGAGUUUUUAAUUUCCUGGGGGCACAGAAAUUCUUCUUGCUGAACCCGGAGACACCAAAGAACAGGGAAACACUUCUGGUGAGAUUGAGAGAUGAGCAGUCUAACGUUUUUGUGGAAGUGACAUGUUAUGUAAUUAAGUGACCUUAAUAAAAUAAUGGCACAGUCAUGAUGGGCCCAUUGGCCUCUUGACUCUGGCCAGUACUUUCCCGUUAGACAACUCCACGGCUGCCCACCAUGAGCUCCAUCAACUGCAAUACAAAGAGUGUUCCAGUGUUGAGGGAGUGGAAGAAAGUGUCAAAUCUGGCCAUCACUAAAGGCAUUUCAAAUGUGUUUUGAAGGAGGGAAGGGACAUGAUUGAGAGGAAAGGAUCAGGUGUGUGGUCAUGGCCUGGCCAUCCUCUCAGUCUAAGAGUUGGCUGUGCAGAGUGGGAUGGAAAACAAGGGUCUCCUUGAGGCCAGGAUGGGAUCUCAGCCAGGCCUGAGUGAGGAGCAGAGGGUCUCCCAUGGGAAAGGGCCAAGUCUGCAUAACUCAAGGGGAGGGGCUUCACAGGGUUGCCACAGGGCUGAGAUCACAGCAGAGAGGUGACAAAUGAGCCCCCUCAAUGUUCCAUAGCUGGUUUCAGUGCUGUGUAUGUCUUGGCAUAGUUUGUAGAGGUUCAGAGUUUUCUUGUGGGGACACUGAGAAGUCCUUAGGUAUGCUUCUAUGAUAUCCAGGGAAGUGGAGUGGAUUAGCUCCUAGUGGCAUAUGUAUGAGCAUGUAUGUAAAGUAGCAUGUGUGUGAGGGAGGGAGUGUGGACAGCAUGUGCAAGUGAGUAUGUGUAUGACUACAUGUGUUUUGUGUGUGUGUGUGUGUGUGUGUGUGUGUGUGAGAGAGAGAGAGAGAGAGAGAGAGCGAGUAAUGUAAGAGAGUGUAAAUGCCUGUACAUUAGCUAUGGAGGUCAAUGUAUUUGUUUCUUGUUGCUGCUGUAACAAAAUUACCACACAUUUUGUGGCUUGCAGCAACACACAUUUGUUAUCUUGCAGUUUGGGAGGGUAGAGAUCUAAAUGGGGCUCACUGGGCUAAAAUCAAUUCGUGAGCUGGGCUGUGUUCUUUUUGGAGGCUCUAGGAGAGAAACUGUUUUCUUGCCUUUCCCAGCUUCUAGAGGCUGCCAACAUUCCUUGGCUUGUGGCCCCUGCCUCCAUCUUCAGUUAGCACCAUGACUUGCUUAAAGGCUGCUCCUGAUUUGGUGGCCCUGCAACAGUGUUGGAGGUGGGGCCUGUGGGUGUUUGGAUCAUGGAGACUGAGCCCUCAUCAAUGAAUCAAUGCCUUUCUCUUGCUGGUGCAGGAGUUCAGCCUCCUUCCCUCUCUUUUGAACCUGCCACUUGCCCUUCCACUUUCUGCAUCCUUGGAAUUGGCAUGAGGUUCUCACCAGAAGCCAAGCCGAUGCUAGUACCCUGUCUUGGGCUUCUUAGCCUCCAGAAUCAUAAGCCAAAAUAAGCUUCUUUUCCUUAUAAGUUAUCUAUUCUCAGACAUUCUGUUAUAGCAACAGAAUCCAGAUAAAAGAGCAACAGUAGGUGGAGUCCUUCUCCUAUUGAAUACUCUGAUCUGUUCUUCUACCUCUCUCUUCCACUUUUAAGAAUUCUUGUGAUCACACUGCCUGCCUGGACAAUGCAACAUAAUCUCUUUAUCUUAAAUUCAACUUAAUUAGAAACUUUAAUUCCAUCUGCAGCCUGAAUUUUCUUUUGAAUUGCAACCUACCACACUCAUAGGUUCUUGUGAUUAGCAGGAGGACAAUAUUCUGCCCACCACAGUCACCACUGUAAUCACUAGAAGGUCUUUUAUAAAGUAGAAGUCCUCUUCCCCUUUGUCCAAAUGUGAACAUGCUGGACGGGCAGCAGGAAGAGGGAUGGAGGAGCAGGUGUAUUUCAUAUGACUCUGAUUGAAGCUCACUGUUGAGAUUCUCUGGUUGAGAUGCCUGAAACAGUCGGGACUUGUCUUUUCCCAAGUAGCAGUGAUGGAAGGGGCUGCUGUGAUGAACUCUCUAACCCAUUCAUUUUUCAUUCACAAGGAAAGGGAGAGCCAGGCUGGAGAAAGUUCUCCUCCAAGGUCUCCCAGCUCAUGGGGGUGGAGCUAGCCCCCCACCAGCAUCCUCUGAACUCUGCCCACUGCUUGCUUGUGCUGCUGGCCCGCUCAUCAAUGUUACAUGAUACAUUAUUUCCCUGUCUUUUCCAACCAAAAGAGAUGUGUGUUUUUGACCUUCAGAAGGCAUUGAAUUCUCUUGACUAACGUGGUGUAUGUGCAUGUGUCUGAAAAGCAAUUACAAUUGUUGGAUCAGAUGCUUACACGGUGGUUUUGCUGCAUUUUCUGCCCAAGGCAUAUAAUGAGACAGGAGGGAAAACUACGUAAAUGUGCGCGGCAUUCAAUCUGGACAGUCCUGAUAUCAAGAAGAUGCAGAUAAAUUGGAGGAGGUCCAGAGGAGAUCAGCUAAAUGAUGACGAGGGGGAAGAAAAGAUGGAAGGAGCUAAGUAGGGGUCGCUUCACUCUGCAGUCAUGUGGUUGGAAGAAAGCAGGCUCCAGGACUCCUAUGAAUAUUUUCAAGCUACAAUGAAAAGGGAACAGAAUGGCUUUCCCAUACUGGUGGGUCUAAGGAAAUGUGCUGGGUGUAGUUACAAAGAGAGAAGAUGCCUUCAUCCUAACACAAGGCCAUCAAAUCAUUUUACUUAACGCUCUGCUGACUGUAACUUCUGGACAUUUCUGUUUUUCACUUUGCUAAGGUGACCAACUGUCUUGGUUUACGUGGGACUGAGGAUUUUCCUGACAUGUAGGACUGUCAGUGCUAGAUCCAGGAUAGUUAUGAAGCAAAGUGGAACAGUGGGUCACCCAGCUGGAGAAUAAAGUAGACCUAACCCAUCUGUCCACCUUGGGGACACUGGCAUACAAGAGUGAGUUACUACCAGUUCUGUUUGCAUGAGGAUUCCAAAUGGCCUUGGGGGAAAUGGUAGAAGGAUCCCUAGUAGUCAUGGUGGAGUCUCAGAAUACCUAGUUGUGCAGUUCUGCUUAUCUGGAGAAGGCAAAGCUGCUGACCUUGGCUGCAGUGAAGGGAAAUCUGGAUUUUUCAGAAAGAGAGGGCAUGCGGCUUGAGGUCACUUGGUAUGACUCAUCCUGGGGCUCUUGUUCAGGUGGAUUAACCAAUAUAUUUGAUGCAGCCUUAGAUAGUGUCCCUCACGCCACCUCCUGCCUAAACAGAAACAGCAAGGUUAACUUCUAGGGCCCUGAAAAGUUAUACCCACUGAGAGAGGCCAGCAUGCUUACUGAGGGCUCUGGGAGCCAUGCAAGAAGGGUUUGGACACUGGAAUUGGUAGCAGGAAGAUUACUGGUCCCUUUUUAGUAUCAAAAAUGGCAGCCAUGAAAUCAGGCCAUCAGAUAAUGGGAAAAAAGAAUAAAAACAGAGCAAAAUUUUAUAAUAAGAAAGAAUGUGAGGCUUCUCCAAAAAGGGAGGACCUUUGGCAGAAACUUAGAAGCACAGAAACAAAACUUCAUGAGCCUUUUCCUCCAUGUCAAAGAGGGUCUGUCAAAGUCUAGAGUCCUUUUCUUCCCAAACAGAGAGAGACUGGGGUCCCCAAUGCCCUGUGGUUGAAUAAUCCACUGGAAGGAUUAAACAAGAAUCAGAAUCAAAACAGAUUGUUGAAGGGUGGAAAGAGAAAGAAGGGAAAGAGGUUUAGUCCAAGGCAGCCUCCUCAUGGAUGUCAGACCUGAGGUGUGGGUCAGGUCAGGUCAGGUUCCAGAACGGGCAUUUCCUUAUCCCACAGUAUGGUGAGGUGACUGUGAGAUUAAAUGACUGGCUGACUUCAGCAGAAAAGCAAUUUUCCAUAAUAGGGAGCUCAUAGAAGAAUCAGGAGGGCUGAAGGAGGCAGAGCUAGAAGGCAAAGUGGGAAAUGCCUACAAUCCCACCCCAGUGAGGGCAUGGGUGCCCCAACCCACCCUGCGUGGCCAGGUGGCCAGCGCAGCUGAGGAGCUGGAGGCCUCUGAUCACACCCCUCUGCCGGCUCUGUUGCAACAUCUUCCUUUAUCUCAGUCCUCCUGCCAUCGUGACACACACGUGCUGAAUCCUCUGCCAUUCUGUCUUGGUGGCAACAGUGGCUGCUCAUUUGAAGUCCAUGUGGAUGUGUCUCGUCCCAGGAAUCGAGUCCAAGUCUAUCAUAGGUGGCUGCCUUCACACCCUUCAGAGACUCAUAAAGUAGAAGAAUUAGGCUGGACAGUCAGAAAAAAUGACAGUUGCCCUUUAGAGUGAGCCCUUCGGUGGUCCUCUGUCAAAAUACACAGGUCCUGCCUGUCCUACACUCAUGCUUCCCACCUAAUAUAAGACAACCGUCAUUCGUACCAUUGGAAACAUGCUGUCAGCUCUUAAAGUAGAUUUGGAUCAAAAUUCCAUUUUUGGGUGUCCAUCUUGUGGUUCGGGAUUGCUGGGCCAGGACAAUUCUUCAUCGAUUCCCUCCUGAUUCCAUCUCAAUGCUCUGUAACCUCUGGGGAAAUUUAUACAGGUAAUCAUUACCAUAUAUCCCUUAUACAAUUGUGAGAAAAAGGGAGAAGAAGGGGGGGGGAAUGGUUAAAAUGUUAGCAUAUAUAUUUCAGAAAGGAAAAAUAGUGCUGAUUUCCAUAUCUGGUCAAGAGGUUAAAUUUGAUAAAUAUUGGGCUGGGGAUAUAGCUCAGUUGGUAGAGUGCUCAUCUUACAUGCACAAGGCCCUGGGUUCCUUCCCCAGCAUCACAAAAUAAAUAAACAAAUAAAUUUUGUUAGAUAUUGUCUUCCCUUCUCCACUACCUUAUGUCAUUUGAAGUCAGCCAACACCUUAUCUGGUUGGAGUUCUGCAUCUGAUAGGAUGAUACAAAUCUUCAUUCCAAGAGUUCUUGGUGGGGAGCGGGUGUAGCUCAGUGGCAGAACACUUGCCAAGCAUGCGUGUGGCCUAGAUUCAAUCCCCAGCACCAAAUGAACACACAAAAACCCCCAAGAAGACCAAGCAUUCUGAGAUCUUGCUGGUCACGCCUGAAGAGGGUUUCUGCAUUUCUCCACUGACGUUUGCCAUUGAAUAUGGUGGCACUUAGGAGAUAGCACAGGAAUCCCCUGGUUUCCUUCAUCUCCAGAUUGGCCUCAGUUUGUAGCAGCAGCCCUAUGUCCCCCUUGAAAUCAGGGACAAUCAAAACCAUCAUUGCAUCUUUUUUUGUGUGUGUGCGCGCGCCCGUGCGUGUGUCUGUUUGCCCAGCUAUUCUGGGUGACAAUCAUGUAGGAUCAGUAAAAGACACCUGCAGCAGCCCACUGACUUGGUUCUUUUCUGUAAUGUGUGUUUCUUGGAUAGAAGCAACAAGGUUGGUGUUGUUGACCGAAGCAUGGUUGGUGAGAAAACAAGAUCAUAAGUGUCCAGCUCUCUCCAUGGGGACAAAUGCUGAUACUUCAAGAUGAAGGGGGGGUUCAAUACUGCCAAUCUGCCACCAGGGGUCAGGCUGUUGCCUCCAGGGAAGGAGCUCCUUGCAAGUGGAGCUUCAGCCCUGGAAGCAGCCAGGUUAGCCAUGAUGAAGGCAAGUCCACAGCUUCCGUUCCAUGAGCAGGUUCCACUCCAGCCUCCACAGCCACUUUGUGCAUGAAUCCAAUGAACGAUCACCUGGGCAGCUGGGGAGGCUGCCUGAGAGCUACAGGACUGAUCAUUGUAUCUGCUCAUUUCUUCCUCACUCUUCCCACUCGGAGUGAAAGCCUUUUGGUGAAUAUGUACUUCAGACAUUUUUCUAGAUGUCCAUUCACAUAUCUCCUUCUUAAACCUCUCUGUUGCUACUUUUCCAAUCUUGUUCCUUCCAAGGUCAUGACCAGCUAUCUAAUAUUAGCCACAGCCCUCUGUCCAAGAAUCUGAAAAUGCUUUACCUCAGCCAUCUCACCAUCCUUCUAGACUGGACAACAGAAUGUCCAGGUUCUAUCCUCCAGAAUGAUGUCCCUUACCCACAGCCCUUAGGGCUAUUCCAGAAUGAGGACACAGAGCCAGUAGUCUGUUUCUGGCUGGUGCAAGCACAGUGAACAGGUCCCUCUGAAGCCAGGCUUGACUUUUCCCUGCACAGGGAAGUCCCCCAUGAGGGUGUAGGUGUCACUGGAGGGAAGGAUGGUAGAGUGGCAGGGUGAACCCCCUGCUCAUGAAACAGCUGGUGUCUUCAUAGCCUGUUCAAGCCCUCACCUGACUACCUAUGCCACCUGAUAAGGGAACUCUGUGGUUAUCUGCUUUUGUUAUGGCAGAAAAUUCUAGUUACUUCAUCGCAAGAAGCCUGAAGCUUGGCCACUAUGAUCUUGCGGCAACUACUGCCACUCACAUCCUGAAACCCCUGGGCUGGACUCUGUCUUUCUUUUUUCUCUUUUUCGUACUGGAGAUUUAACCUAGGGAUGCUUUACCGUUGAGUAUGUCAUCCCUGGUCUUUCUUGUUUUUUGUUUUGAGGCAAGAUCUCACUAAGUUACUUAGGGCCUCACUAAGUUGCUGAGACUGGCCUUGAACUUGCAAUUCUCUUGCCUCAGCCUCCUGAGCUAACUGAGAUUACAGGCAUGCAUCACUGCACCCAUCAGAACUUUGUUUCCACUGUCAUGAAGGAUUGACUCUCAUCCCUGUUUGUAUGCCUCACUUGCUCUUAAAGCAAAGUGCAAUGACAAUAUGAGAUCCAAGUGACCUAGGGCUAGCUAGCGUGUAUGCUAGCCAAAAGCAGAUAUCUUGGCAUUUUCAGCCUCUGUAUCGGGUGGAUGGGUAGACAAGCUUCCUAAGGAGGAUUGCCCCCAGUUAUACGAAGGGGACUUAGGCUCUGGAUUGUCAAAAUAUCUUUUAUAUAUGUUCCCUCACUCCUUUUCAAAAAAUGCAGAAAAUUAAAAAAAAAACCAUAAAAAUAAAAAUAUAAUCCAAUAGCUCAGAAACAAUACAACAAUAACAAAAGAUUAAAAUAUAGGCAGGUAUCUUUUCCUAUGUCCUGUAAUGAAUAUUUAUCUUCCAGGAACAUAGAUAGAUUCUAGGAAGUCAGAAAUGUCAUUUGUUUUAUUUGCUGCUGUCUUCACAUUAAUAAAUGAAUGUCUAAAUGAAUGAUUAUUUUUAAAAGCUUCAACUCAUAUUAUAGUCACUUUUCAUCAUCCACAAAGAUUCUUUAUGCAUCAGUUAAGAUGCCUCAUGUGUGCUAUCUUGUGGAGUUGUCAUGAAACCCUGUAGAGUUCAUUCCCAAGGUAUAAAGGUUUCAGUGUCUGGUGUGAGGCUGGGUCUGCAGCAGGCAGUCUGCCUCAUUGACAUCAUGCUGGGUGUGGUUUCAAAUGAUUUUAUUCAAAUGAAUUCUUGGCAAAGAAGGACAUGAAUAAAUAACAUCAAGCGGUGGGUGGAUUUUUUUCUUUUGAAAUGGCGGUGGGGUAUCUUAUCUCUUGAGGGGAGACACUUCCUGCUGGCUCUAGCUAUCAGAACAGGUUGAAAGACUUCAAAUGAUUUCUUUGAAAGGAGAGCCUCUUGGCAAUGCAGGAAGGCAGGAUGGUGACUUGGAGUUUAUAGGGAAUCUGUCAGUCUUGACCUUUCUCCUCUGGCCCUGGGAUCCCAUACAGGGCACCACCAGAAAUAGAAAUGGGAGGUGCUCCCAGAAGGCAUCCGCUGACUCUUGCUAUUCCCCUGCAUUGAUCUAGCCUUAUUCUCCGUCUCCAUUUCCUCUUCUAUCUCCUUCCCCUGCAUUCCCUUCCCCUCCUCCUCCUUUUUCUCUGAGACAGGUCUAGCUAAGUUACCCAGGUUGGCCUUGAACUUGAAAUCCUGCCUCAGUCUGAGUAGCUGGGAUCACAGGCACAUGCCACCAUCCCCAGCAAAACCCAGGCUUCUUAUUAGGAGAAGAACGGUCUCCUAGCAAAACUCCACCUCAUUGAUUUAGCAGACUAAUGAACACCCUUCAAUCCCUCCAAAACACAGGAGAGGGAUUAAGGUGCUAAAUGAUGCUGACAGUGAGUUGCUGCUUGCAGCCCUGGACAGCAGGAACACCUGGGUACUCACCUGCUAUGUGCACCAGGAGUCAACUGUGUGAGCCUCCUGGCCUCUUCAUGCCAUUUGUGCUUAAUUAAUUAAAUCACUUAAAAAUUCCAUGAACCACUUUAUUUAUGAAAUUGAACACUUGCAGUGUGCCAGGCCCUGGUCUUCACACCUCAAAUAAAUAAGUGAACAAAGAAACAAAGAUCCCUUUUUCCCAUGUAAUUUAUUAUGUAUGCAAAAAUAAAAAAUUAAAAAAUCUCGGCCAGCAUGGUGGUACAUGCUUGGUAAUCCAAGCAAUUGGGGAGGCUAAGGCAGGAGGAUUGCAAGUUCAAUGCCAGCCUCUACAACUUAGUGAGGCCCUUAAGCAACUUAAUGAGAUUCUGUAUCAAAAUUAAAAAUAUAAAGGGCUGGGAAUGUAAUUCAGUGGUUAAAUGCCCCUGAGUUCAACCCCCAGUUCUCCCCACCAAAGAUAUACUCUAUCACAAAGAGAAUGAAAUCGAACAUAUUGAUAAGACCCAACAAGUGUAAGUUAUGUUUAACCUGGUGGGUUUGAGACAACUUUUAAAAGAUUGGAAAAAAAAUAUCGUGAGGCUCUGGAAGGAUUUCAGUCUCAGAAUACUUCACAAGUGUUCUUAAAUUCGUGUUCCAUUUUAAAGAAAUCAAAACUGGAAAUGUAUACAAGAAAAAAUAAACUGACAGCAACAAAGAAAUCCAAUCAGGAAACCCAAAGAAAGGUCUUAUGCUUAUGCCAAAAAAAAAAAAAAAAAGUUUUACAUUAAAAUAACAUGUUUAAGGUAAAUAUUUAUCUUUUUCUUUAAAAAUGAAUUUCUACUGUGAAAUGGCUUUUUAAAUUGGCAACAAACAGCUAGUACCACCUGGAGUGGAUUAAAGGAUUUAUAGAGUCUAUUUUUUUUUUGUACCGGGGAUUGAACUCAGGGGCACUUGACCACCGAGCCACACCCAAAGCCCUAUUUUGUAUUUUAUUUAGAGACAGGGUCUUACUGAGUUGCGUAGUGCCUUGCUUUUGCUGAGGCUGGCUUUGUACUCACAAUCCUCCUGCCUCAGCCUCCCAAGCCACUGGAAUUACAGGUGUCUGCAAACACACCCAGCUUUAGACUCUAGUUUUUAAGAUCCACUUGAAUCAGAAUCACCAGGUUGCUGAAGUUUGAACUGGAAGUUCUGGGCGUGGCUCCAGCACCUACAGCUAAGCAGACUUCCUGGGGACCUACUUGGGACAGUUGCCUGCUGAGGGCUCUUACCAGUUAGGGCAACCCAGAGUCCUUCUCAUUCUGGACCUUUGACUUUGGAGAGCUCAAGACACCAGUUGGUAGGAAGGUUGCAUUCCACCUUCAGAAGGCAAAACAUGGAAGAGUCUUGUUCUGAAUUGUGUCAUAGCAGAGACCUGCUGUUGAGAGAAGUGAAGUUCAUGUGUAAUUCCUAGUGCCCAAAUUAGAUGUUCCCAGGAGAUUAAGAAGGGUCUUUAAUCUUGAGCAGUUUAUGAUCUUGAGACAAAUUCAGCUUGUUGAGUCACUGGGCGAUACUUCUCCAUAGCAUACAUACAGUAUUAUUACAGUACUGUAAUCACAUGCUACAGAUUCUGUAGUUGACAGUGUCAGGGUGGCGACUGCCUGAGGGUGAUGACCUUCCCGGCCUGACCAGGACUCAGGGGUUGACUGGGAUUGGGACUUUCAGUGUUAAAUCUGAAGCAGGCCUGGGCUAACUGGAAAACUUGGCCACCAUAGAGAAGGAUCGACUUGGGAGCCACCAAAGCUGAGGAAGGCUCUGUAGGAGAGGGAGACAUCUGAGUGGGUGUUCAAAUCUAGAAGAAUCUAUAGCAGCCGAGAGCUCGGAGAGAGAGGGAGCAUUCUAAUUCUCAUGCAUGAGCAGCCCCAGAAUCCCCAGCACUGUUAGUUUAGAUCCAGGUAUUUUAAACAGCAUGUUUUUAGCAAUCACUUGGCAUGUUGCUACAAGAAGUGCCACCGAGCUAAGUGGUUCUGCAAGUUGAAGUGGAAACAGUUCAGACGCGUCCCUACCUCGGAGUCCGGGUUAAUUAGCUCAUGUUUGCAGAAGCCUUUGGGUGUCUGCAGCACAUCCCCAAGCCCAGGUAUUAUUAGCCAGUUAGUACCACUUUAAAGAAAGAAAAAACACAUUUCUGCAGUUCUGUCAGCCCUUGUUUCUUCAAAUAGCUAGACUCCUGCAGAUUUCAGUAUGAGCUGUUCACUGGAACUGAAGAGGCCACUGUGUCCAACCACGUGUGUGAAUGUGAUUUCAAUCCAGCCCGAGGUCUGGGCCACUGUCUGACUUACAAACAGUGUGCAGUUGUCUUGUUGGAAGGCUGCCACUGUCCGGUUCAUAGCUCAUGUGUCUUUUAUAUGCCAUGCAUGUAUUAUCAUAGACCUUACGGUACUACAUGCUAAGAUAUCUCCCAUCUUUUAAUGAGAGAUAUGCUAAUGUCACAGGACAGCUGAAAACCCUGGACAGCAAGCAGCCCACCCUCUUGCUGAGUUCAGGCCUCCUAAUGCUGGUGGGAGGGGCACAGAGCAGGGUUUUAGCACAGGCCCCUCCCUCCCUGACCAAGGGGAGCACUUGGCCCCACCUCUGACCCUGCUCCUAUUCAUGGGCAGCUUACAGCUUAGCCAGGCAAAACCAUCAGAGGGUGGCUGGACUCUUAAAAGCAUGUAUAUGUUGUGUACUUGUGUGUGUGAGUGUGUAUGUCGUGUGUGUGUAUAUACAUGAGGUGGGUACAUAUGUGAAUAUGUGUGUGUAUGUGAGUUUGUAUAUGUGUAUCUCUGUGUGUGUAUGUCAUGUGUGUGUGCAUGAGGUGGUACAUAUGUGAACAUGUGUAUGUACAUGAGUUUGUGUUUAUUUGUGUAUGUGUUAUGUCAUGUGUGUGGAAUGGGUAUAUGUAUGCAUGUGUAUACAUGUGUGGGGAAAUGGUGUCUGUGUGUGUAUGUGCAUGGCCUUGUGGAGGGAUCUCAAGUGUGGACAGUUGUGUUCUGGGCCUUGGUGGGUGCACAAGACAUCUCCUUGCUCCUUGUUCUGGUAAGAGGGUGGGUGACAGUGCUGGGGAACUAGAGAAGGGGCAGAGGCCAGGCAAUAGGCACAGGCUUGAUGGGAGGUGUUUCCACUCGUGGGCUGGCUUCUCUCUGCUGGUUAGAGUGGGAGGCAGAGGGGAUAACAGGCUCAUUUUGCUGCUAACAAAAACUAGCCUGAGGCAUCCUGCCAGUCUGAGGAGCUGAUGGAAGCAGCUGACCUGGCCGCUGGUGCCGACCAGAGACAUAGAAAUCCUGGGCUUCCAGAUGCCCCUGGCCUAGGAUCUCAGGAAUGCAAAAGCACUGAUGAAGAUAGUUCCUUCUAGGGUCAUGCUCAGAUGUGCUGGCCUGCACAAUGUCAGAGCUUUUCUGGAUCGUGCUGCACUUGGAGCGACCCAUGACACAGGUCUGAUGGAUUUUCUUCAUAUCUUAGAGAGCCCAGGAAGUUGAGCCUUGAAAAAUCAAUAUGGCAGCGAACACAUACUAGCCAUUUACUACUUAUUAGUGGGGAAGGGAUGGAGUCUUACUAGGUAAAGCAAAGGCUGAAAAACCUAGAGAGUAGAAGAAAGAAGUGGAGAGGUGGGUGUCCAGCUGCUCCCAUGAGCCAGAACUGGAACACCAAAGACCCCUUAGAAGGACACAUUCUUGAGGUUUCUCUCCUGACAGGUUUUGGCAAGUGCAAAUGGGUGCUCUUGUAGAAUACUGCACAGCUGGAGCAGUGUGGUCUUAGAAGGGAGAGAUGUAUAAGUAAGGGUUAGGAGCUAUUUAAAAGCUACAUCAUUCUGCUCUCUGAUAUUAGGUCUUUUAAAUAGUCACACCAAAUACAGACUGCCCCCGUGUGUCUUACAGUUCUGCAUCCCCAGAUCCAACAACAAUGAAAAAUUUGUCUGUACUGAAUAUGCACAGACUUUCUUUCCUUUCAUUAUCCCCUAAACAAUGCAGCAUAACAACCAUUUGCAUAGCAUUCAUAUUGCAUUAGGUCUUACAAGCCAUCUAGCGGAGACUUAAAAGUACACGGGCAGACUGUGUAGGUCAUGUGCAAAUGCUACACUAUUUAUAUGAGGAACUUGAGCAUCCACGGAUUUUGGUAUCCACAGGGGUACUGGAACCAGCGACCUGUGGAUUCCAUGGCACAACUUAACUUGCAUGGCCCCUGGCCUGUGUGUGUGGUCACGCAGGCAUUCCUCACAUAGGACGGUGUUGGCCGUCUCCUGAUGGGGCUUCAGACAAGUUGGCCUCUGGCCACCCAUUUCCUUUUGCCUUAGGAAUGAUAGAUUCCACUGAUCUUCUUUGGUGCUGAUAACCAUCUGAUCAUUCUUCCUUUCCUCUCUGUCCUUCAACCUUUCUUUUACUUGUGUUGGCAAAGAACCUAGGAAUGAUCCUCUUUUUUUUUUUUUUUGGAUACCUGGGAUUUAACCCAGGGGGCACUUAACCACUGAGCCACAUCCCCAGCCCUUUUUAAUAUUUUAUUUCAAAAUAGGGUCUUGGUGAGUUGCUUAGGGCUUCAGUGAGUUGCUGAGGCGGCUUUGAACUCGUGAUCUUCUGCCUCAGCCUCCUGAGCCUCUGAGAUUACAGGAAUGUGCCAGUGGAAUGAUCCUCUUUGGAAAACUUAUUUUGCCAUCAUCUCGGUCAGCAAAGUCCAUUCCAUAUGUUCCCAACAUUCAUUUUAAAAACAGGAACAUCACACUGUGGUCUUCCUUAUAAGCAUUUGUGUUAUGGAUGGGCACUACCUGUCAAAUCUCUCUGCCCUGACGGACAUGUUCUGUCUCCACUGUCCACCGUAGCUACUAGCCACAGGCCACUUGUGAGUGCUUUAGCUGUGACCCAUGUGAUGGAGGAGCCACAUUUCCAAUUGUGUUUAACUUAAAGAGUCACAUUGGCUGGAGACUGGAGUACUGAAUGGCGUAGUUAUAGAACAUGUAUGUGUCUCUAGGAUUUCCUCCUCCAAAGCCCAGUUCAGAUUUUUUUCCUUAGGUGAUCCGAGCACAUUCCUUCGCUGUCUUUGGCUCCUUGGGUUCUGCAAUUCCUCCAGCUCUCAGUCUCCUUCACACAAUGAGUGCGAGGGUGGGUUGGGAAAGGCUUACUGAAAUGUCAGCAACAGGGGUGAGAAAAUUUCAUUUCUCCACCAGGCAUUUUCUCUGUUGACCCAAUAGGUUUACUUACUUAUGAGCAGAGGAUAACAACAGCUGAACCCCAAAAUGAAAUGCCUGAGUCACAAGUGGAUCACAUUUCUAUUUCAAUCUAAUGCGUAUUUCAACUAAUGCAAGUUUUGAGAAUUAUGUAUACUUGAAGGUACUAUGUCAUCAACAUUUUAGGAGAAAGCCCCAGGAAAUUACAAUUACAUAACCAGAGCGGAAUUCGAAGAGUUCCGGCUUUGCACGAAGAAAGCAGCUUGGGCUGGGUUCAGGCUUCCAAGAGGCAGCCUCUCUCCAGGGUAGAAUAAUCUGGUUGUAAUUGGGUGAUGCUGGCAAAGACCUGGAUGAGGGAGAUAAUUAGCAAGGGCUGAUUUACACAAGAAAUCACAAUAAAAGGACAAGGAACUUCUAGGGCAGAAAAAAGAAACAUCAGAUUUAUUAACAAAAGUCAAAGCCAGUUUUGAAGUCCCCCCCAACCCCCCAAAGUGACUGGGAACACCAUGCAGAUGGUGCUGGACACCUGGAAUAGGUAAGAAUCUGAGAGCACAUCUGUGACAGGAAACUAAGACAGAGGAGGUCUAGCAGAUUCUGUAAGGCACAGUUCCCUGGUGUGGGGGAGAGUCUGUGGUUAAAAUAAUAGAAGGUAACUCUUCAUUUAUUCUUCUUUCUAGCUGUAUUAGUCUGCUUCAGCUGCUGUAACAAAAUAAUCAUAGCAAUUUAUUUUCUAACAAUUCUGGAGGCUGAGAAGCCCAAGGCCAAGGUGCCAGCCUAUUUGGUUCCUGAUGAAGACUCUUCCUUGUAGACGGACAACCUUUGUACCAUGUCCUCACAUUACAGAAAGAGAACUUGCAUCCCUUUUGCUUCUAGAGCCCAAGACCUGAGCACCUGCCUUGACUGGGCAAAACAAAGGGACCGAUGUGUCACCUUCAUCCCAAAGGAGUAGUUUGUGACAAAUCUGAUUUUCAGGAACAGAGUUGUCUAGCAAAGCAAUUGGAAGGACCUAGAUGCAGCAAGAGUGACCCUUUCCCCACCUCUUAAGCCUCAUUAUUUCUAUUUUGUGUCUUCUUAGCAUUAUAGGUUCUGUUGGUAUAACAUUCAUAAUGUUUCUCAGGACCCCCAUGGAGACCAAACCCUGCAGAUGAUCAAAUCCUUUAUAAAAAAUGGUGUAGUAUUUGCAUAUAACCUACACAAUCCUCCCACAUACUUAAAUCAUCCCUAGGUUACUCAUAAAACCUAAUGCAAUGUAAAUGCCAUGUAAAAUAGUUGUUUGACUGUAUUGUUUAGGGAGUAAUGACAGGGAAAACGUCCAUACAUAUUCAGUGCUGAUGCAAUUAUUUUUUCAAAUACUUUUGUUCUGUGGCCAGUUGAAUUCAUGGAAGCAGAAACCUUGGGUACAGCAGGAAGUCCACACCCCUCACUAAUUUUGGAGGUCCCACGGCUAGGCAAUACACAGUCUCCCACUAACUUUGCCACAGGUGACACCUCUGAUGUGGGGGCUAUGAUCAUGGUUGCCUAGGUGGCAUUUCAGGGAUCUGAGGCCACUUUUUCUGAAAACACUGACUUUUCACUUGGACCUGCAGAUGCGUGAUGGAUGACAGACACAGGACCAACAGGCUUGGCAUCUCUGCCUCCAUAUCCUAUCUGUCUCCUUCGCUUGAGUUCCUGGAAGAUCUCCAUUCUGGGCUCUCUUUCCCUGUCAUUCCCUUCCUGCAUCUGUGACCCUCAACCCCCCAGAGUUGAGGAGCUGAUUCAUGAGCAGAGCUCCCUCCUCUCCACUCUUCCCUCUCAGACUCUGGUUUUCCGUGAGUUGAGCUUCCGGGUUCCAUAACCGGAUGAACAGAACAAAGCCAAUGGUACUGCAAGGUGACCAGGGACCAAGGAGAGCUCUUAAGUACUCACUAGAUGGAUGUUUGCCUGAAUAGAGGGCAUGACAGGGGAGAACUAUCCCAUCAUGGGGGGUGGGAAAGGGAGGUUGAGGGAAGGAGCUGGUUUUCUCCAUGAGCCACACCUGGGGAAAAUGACAUAGAGGGCCGCUGAGCUUUCGAAGCUCCCUGAUCCUGAAGAGGGCCGAAAGUGUGGUUAGGAAAGUGGGGGAAAGAGAGAAAAAGCCAACCUUGAGCCCCCAGGACAACAGCCAGAAAGAGACCGAGGCUGACCAAGGGAGAGGCUUGGCCUUCAGAGUGGAGUUUUGAUGCCUCUAUAGUAUGGGUGUAGUGAAGGCAUCAUCUGAGAACCUUCCGGAAGCCAGUGGGCCUACCUGACAUCUCAUCUGCAGAAGGAAGUUCCAGCCCCAUAGAGUGGGCAAAACAGGCCCUUUCAGGGAAACAAAACAUGGUGUUUGAUUGUAUCUUGCUUGAUUUGAAUGUGCUCCCACAAAAGCAUGAGUUGGAAACUUAAUCCCCAGUGUGCCACUGUUGGGAGGUGGGUCCCGUUGGAAGGUGUGUAGGUGACAAGGCUCUACGCUCACCAUGGAUUGAUGAAACUGUAAGAGAGCUCAAGGCUGCCAGUUGCAAUUCCUGCUCUCUCUCUCUCUCUCCCUUUCCCCUUCUCUUGGUGCUUCUGGUAUGUGAUGCCUUCUACCAUGCUAUGAUGUGGCAAGAAGAUGCCAGAGACCAGUUCCUCCAUCUUGGACCUCUAGUCUCCAGAACAGUAAUAAAUAAAUUUAUCUUGUCUAUAAAUCACCUAGUCUCAGGUUCUCUGUUACAGUAGCACAAAACAGACUAAGACACAUCUGGCAAAUUCCUCUCAUUUGUUGUGCCUCCUGGUUAUAUGCACAAGUAACAAUGAUCUAAGCAGAAUAGCAUGUCUCUUAUCCUCUUCUCACACACCGUCAGACACCUGCUCUGUGCCAGGCACAGAGAAGGCUCUGGAGAAUACUACAGAUCAAUGCCAGGAGAGGCUCUGACACUUUGCUGAGAAAACAGUGCAGUGGCACCCUGUGAGGUAAAGUUACACAGCAUGUUUUGAGGAUUUGAUGAGGGAAGAAAUCACAUGGGCGUAGAGUGGAGAAGAGGGACAUUUCAUGGAAGAGACGUGCCCGGUGCUGGGCCACAGAGGAGCUCUGAGAUCUGGGUGGGCAGUAGUGUCUGGGGGGCUCUCCAGGCAGAAUAGGGAGAAUGAUCGCUUGGUUUGAGCCUAGAGUACAGAGAAGGCCAAAUGGGUGCAUUCCAUUGGUAUGAAAGAGAACAGAAUAGGCAAAUCUACAGAGAAAGUGCAUUCCCGGGUGCCUGGGGCUGGCAGAUGGGGAGUGACUGGAGAGAGAGCAGGGCUUUUAUGGGGGCGGAGGUGAGGCGAUGUUUUCUAAAAUUAGAUUGUGGUGAAGGUUGCACUAAAUAUACCAAAGCCGGUGAGCUGUAUGAUUUAAGUGGGUGCAUUGUAUGGUCUGUGAAUUAUGUCCCAAAUAAGCUGUCAAAAAAAGGGAGAAUCUAAUCACAGCCAAAUAAAUAUAGAAUGAUACGGUCUGUAGAAAACUCAGGAUCUGGCAACACUGAACAAUAUGUCGUUAGGCAGAGGUGGGAAAACCUCAAAGAAACCUCAAAGUGAAUGAUUAGGAAGACGUCAGGGAGCGUUAGCCCCGGGGAGCAAGGAGGGGGCAUCUAUGAAGUGUGGGAGCAGAGAAUGAAUGGCAAACAAACCUGACACGUUGGAUGGCUUCCUGUGUGGGGCGGUUUCACGGGUGCAGCUUUGCCACAACUCGUAGAGCUGUUAGGAACACUCUUUGAAGGUAUGACAGGUUUUUAAAUAAGUGAAAGAAAAGGUGGAGGGGGAAAGUCAAGGGAGAGAGAGGACAGAAAAGUGUGUGGACAGAGCGUGCAGGGUCCAGGGCUCCAGGUUGGAGACACUGGUACUGAAGGAAAGCCAAGGUGAAGGAAGGGAUCCAGGCUCUGUAUGCAGGAGUGCAGAGGGCAGGGAGCGGCCAGAGGUGGGAGGAGCCUCCGGAGUGACGUCAGCGUCUGGCACUUGCAGUGGGGCAGUGGGGGGUGCAGGUGCUGGGGUAAGAGGGUGAGAUUCCCCGCUCACGGUCAGCCCAGCCGAGCAAGUCUUGCAGAACCUGAGAGUCUGGGUUGGGAGACACGUGGACAGAGAUGGGGAGGUCCUCAAGAGGGGGCUGGAAGGAAGGGAAGGUCAGCAGUUUAGCCUGGUCGGGCAAGGGGUACGAGACGCGUCCUAAUCACAACAUGAGGGACCUCAGGAGAUGGCAGCCACAACUCCUGGUGCCUUGGAGGUUCCCAGGUCACUAUGGGGCCUUUCCAAAUUCUUUCUGAGCUUGGUUCCUUGAGCAACCUGUCUCUUCUUGGCUCUCUGGACUCCAUAUGUGGUCCCAUCUGCUGUCCUCCCUCCUACAACUUCCCAGGAUAAGCCAUGUUGCAUUUCUCGGGGGCUCAGCCCAGGGCCCUGGGGCCAGACCUGAGAGGAUGCCUUCUGUAUCCCAGUUCUGAAAAGUCUCCCUGAAUGUGUCCUUCUCAGGUGUUUAGGCUCCAGACUUCCCAUCUACCUGGGAACCUUGCCUGGCCCAACCUUUGAGAAGACAGAAGAAGGUUUCUGGGGGAAAGGGACUCCUAGAGGAGGCCAAGGAGGGUGAAUGGAUGUCAUCGUUUCCAGGGGGAGGAGCAGGUGUGCAGAAGCCCAGGUGGGAGACACCAUGAUUGGAGCAAGAAGCGAGUCCCAAGAAGUGGGCAAAGCCCAGGUUGUUCCAGUAGUUUGGACUUGAUCCUUUCCCCUAAGGGUAACUCAGGCACUUGAAGGUUUUGAAGCAGGUGGUGAUACAAUCAGUUUCUCCCUGCAUCUAAUGAGCAUUUACUAAAUGCCAGACGUCAUUCUGUCUUUUCUACACAUUAUCUCAUUUUAUCUUCUUGGUGAUUCUGUGGGGUAGAUAUCAUUAGCCCACCCACCCACCCACUCAUCCAUUCAUCCAUCUCUUUAAAACUGAGAUACAGCUUCAGGCCAAUCACUAUAUUCAUGCUUAUGGGACAAUGAGGGAAUGGAGGAGUCCUCACUCCCAGAGGGUCACACCAAUUCCUCAAGGGCUGUAACUGGAAAGGGGCAGGGUCGGGAUACAAACUCAGUAAAGCAGACUCUGGGGCCUCAGUUUCUCCGACAGGCCGGGUGUUGCCUAGCUGAGCCUUACUCUUGGGGUGAGACUGUAGGUCUCAGGAGUGUCCCAAAGGUAGCAAGAUGAGGGUGAGCUAGGGUUUUGAUGUGAGAAUGGAUCCUGGGUAAGAAAAGAGGGUUGGUGAGGUUACCACAGGUGAAAUGAAGAGGGUAAAAGGCACAUAUACGAAGGAUCUGGGCCGUCCUGGGCACCUGCCACUUCUCUGCUUACUUUCUUGCAAACAACUUAUUUUUUGAAAGGGAUAGGAAGAUGGGCAGCCACAUGUCCCACUCCUAGGGAUGAGCUGUGAUUGGUUUAAGCCAUUUAUGGCUGAGCUAAUACUAUUUUCCUGGUACUCACACUUCCUGGUCCUACCCUUUAUAGUUGGUGCAGGCCCGUGACCAGGUUUUGAUCAGUGAUACAAAAGGGAGGUCUUUUGAGGGUUUAUGAAAGAUAUUUGUGAUCCCCCCAAUGAAAGACAAGAACAGAAAGGGGAGGUCCUUCAUUAUCUAGCUGCCUUGCUGCAUCCUGACUUUGAAUGCAGUCAUGAUUCCUGGAGAUACGGCAGCCAACUUGUGACCAUGAAACUGCAAAGACAAAAGUCCCAACAAACGGAGGAUGAGCGUGAACAGAUGAGCUAAUAACAGCAAAGACUCCUGUCUGGACCUCUUAAAAUGUGGAAGAAAGGAAACCAGGAGUGUAGACUUUCCCACUAUCUCUAGCUGACCACAUGCUAGCUCCAUAAUAGACCCAGUGGGGAGGAGGCAGGAAGCAGAGGUGAAGCUCUGUGGAAUGCGGGGCUGUGGUGGGGACAUUGCUUUGUUUUCUGAUUGUUUCAUGGAGUAUGAACCUUGAGGACACAGUCACCUUUUCUUUUCUGCCCUUCCCUCCCAUGGUACUCUGUCAUCUCCUCCUUUUCUAUAGCCUACGCCAAGCCCACAUGUUCAAUGACCAUUUCUUUUCUUUUUUCUUUUUUCGUAAACAGAGAAACUUGCCCUUUGUUGAUUCUCAUUGUGCUCCCAUCAAACUAUCAAAGAUGUUGAAGGACAGAGACCUGAACUCUGCCACUGGGCUCAGGAGGACACCACAGACACUGACUUGGCUUAUCAUUUUGUUUAGCGCCUUGAAAGGAGGUUGGUGAUGUAGAAGGUUGGAUGAUCCUUUGAGGAGAAAAAGAGAUGGAAAGCAAGAAACGUCAGAAAACACUCAGACGGGGAGGGGAUCAGUUGCAAGAGUAAAGUGGCCACGACGUGGAAGAACAGGAGACAGGAGGAAGGAGAGCUUGGUGCCUGCCGUGCACCCACAGGUGGUCCUCAGCCAAGCCCCAGCCUCCCCCUCCUCUGCCUGCCUAGCCAGCCUCUCCUGGCUGUGAAGAUGUCCUGAGCUGUCCCUUGCCUCCUGAGCGAUGCAGACGCUGCUGGGUCCCCGAUCACCCCUGAUGCCUCCCUGGCUUCAUGUGAAUAGAAUCCUGUUUUUUAUUUUUUAUUAAAUUUUUUAAUAUUUAUUUUUCAGUUUUCGGUGGACACAUCUUUAUUUUAUGUGGUGCUGAGGAUCGAACCCAGCGCCCCACGCAUGCCAGGUGAGCGCGUUACUGCUUGAGCCACAUCCUCAGCCCCAGAAUCCCGUUUUUAAAUGCACUUCAGAGGAUGGUGCUGUCCUCAGGUUGAGGACGGACUUUAAGAGCCUCUAGACCCAGGUGGGGAAUCUUGGUUCCCCUCUGCUGUGGUUUGGAUGUCAUCUGAGCUGUUUCCCAUCGGUCACAGGCUGGAGGCUUGGUCCCCGGUGUACUGGCAAUGGGCCAUGGGACCUUUACGACACCAUUAGACCUGGAGGGCACCAUCCCUGCAGGGACUCACGUGGUUCUUGUGUUCUUGUGGGAGCAGGUUAGUUCCUGUGAGAGUCGCCCCACCCCCACCCCCUCCCCGGCGCUCUUGUUUCUUCUCUCCCCAUGUGAAUUCCUCUUCUUUUACUUCCUGCACAUCCAUGAUGCCAUCUGCCAUGUCAAGACACAGCCCCGGGAUCCUCUUCAGAGGCCACCAGAUGUGGCUGCCAAUCUUGGACUUUUAGCCUCCAACUGUGAGCUAAAAAACAAAACAAAAACCUUCUUUUCUUUAUAAGUCACCUGGCCUCAGAUAUUUUGUUGGUAUAGCAACAUGAAAUGAACUAAUCUCUCUAGGGGUCGGUUUAUGAAUGGGCAUGUGACACAGUUUUGGCCAAUGAGAUGAGAGGGGAAAUCUAAAAAGGGUCUAAUGGGAAAUUUUCCUUAGCUUUUGAAAGGCCAGGGGUGUGUUCCUUUUAUUUAUUUAUUUAUUUAUUUUAGAUUCUACUGUGCAUGUGUGAGGGCAAUGUCUGGAACUAUGGCAACCUGGUAGGGACCAUGAGAGGAGCCUACUCAAAAGGAGAAGCUAACACACUAAGGGUGGAUCCCAGCCAGGUCUGGUGGUGCACAACUGCAAUCUCAGCAACUGAGGAGGCUGAGGCAGGAGGAUCUCAAGUUUGAGGCCAGUGAGACUCUAUUUUAAAGUUAAAAAAAAUAAGAAGAGCUGGGGAUGUAGCUCAGUAGUAAUGUGCUCCCAGGUUCAAUCCACCCCCCCAUGCCAAAAAUUAUGGGUUCUUGGCUUUGGAGCUUGGCUUUCAUAUCAACCAACUCUGGAAGUAUUUCCCUUUUGAAUUUAUUAACUUAUUAACCAGAGAGAGGGAGAGGGAGGGUGUUUCAGUCAACCUUUUUGCUGCUGUGACUGAAACACCUAACAAGAACAACUUUAGAGGAAGAAAAGCUUAUCUAUGGGCUCAUGGUUUCAGAGAUCUAAGUCCACAGACAGCUGGCUCUAUUCCCUGGGGCUCGAGGUGAGGCUGAACAUCAUGGUAGAAAAGUAUGGAGAAGGGAGUAGUUCACAUGACGAUCAGAAAGCAGAAAGAGACUCCAUUCUCCAGAUACAAAAUGUAUGCCUCAGUGAUCCAUCUCCUCCAGCGACGCCUUACCCACCUUCCGUUACCACUUGGUUAAUCCCAUGAGGGAUCAGUUCACUGAUUAGGUCAAGGCUAUAAUCCAAUCAUUUCUUCUCUUGCAUUGUCUCACACAUGAGCUUUUCGGGGACACCUCACAUCCAAACCAUAACAGAGGGAGGGAGAGGGAGAGACAGAGAAAGAGAGAGAGAGAAGGAAAGAAAGAACAAGAGACUGGGCUAAGAGAUACACAAGGUGAGCCUGCAGCAUCUUGUGGUGCCAGAAACCAAAGAAGUGCUUAAAAAAAACCCACAAAAACAACAACAAGUAAAUCCCCACGAUGGUGUGGGUGCGUCAGAGGGAUACAGGAAUCUGUGGGAAGAGCACCUAAAAGCCAAAACUAGAAUAGUUUGAGCAGCAAAAUUAUUGAGGAGAUGGUAUUGGACAGGUGAGAUUCAAGAUGGCAGAUCAGAGGCAACCAGCCCUGAGAUAGAACCAAAGAAACAGGUGUUAGCUGUCUGUGAGGAGCACUGGGAUUAACAGGAGGAAGAAAGUGACCUGGAGAAACCCAGGGAUUUGGAGUCAUGGGGUAGUGGAAGGACUGACUGCAGGCCUCAUGGCUGGGGAGGGAGAAUCUCAUCUGGUGCAGUGUGGGUGAAGAGGGGGGGUCCCAGCGAGCCUCCCCAGCGUGGGAUUCAGUACCUGGUGGACAUGCCGUCUAAACAGCCCAGAGGCAUGGGAACUGCAAAGUGAACUGGCUCAGGGACCUUUCUCUGUCCAUUCUAGUACCUUCUCCCAGAACCGUGGCAGGCAGUGGUGUUGACUAGUGUCCUGUGGCCUGAGCCCUCUCCUCUGGGGGGUGAGGAACCCUUGCAUUUUCCUGUCUCAGACUCUGCAGAAGUUUCACUGCACUGGCUUAGUGGGUGGCCACCUGGUGAGUCUGUGACACCUUGGCAAUCCUGCUGGGGUUCUCUGUGAUGGGAAGCUGGACUGUGAAGGAGAAGGGAGCAGAAGGCACUUCCCUUUAAAAUCAGACGUCCAGGAAACCAGCUGUCCGAGCCUGCGGGAGUGAACAAUGGCAUGGGACUUCGCAGUGGGAGCCGAGUCUGGGAACACCAGGGCUGUGGGAGGAGAUUGCUCAGGACUCGAUGCCCCCCGCACCCACCCCCAUCUCCCAGCACAGAUCUCUGGGGCUCCAUCCCUCUCUUCACUCCUGGGAGUGACCUAGGCCCCACAGAGCUAGCACUUGCCCUGUACUUGGAAUGCACAGCCCACAAAGAUAGGGAGGAAAUCUUUGCUCGGCAUUCUGCACCUUGUUCUAAGGCACAAUCAACAGGAAUCCCAGCUAGCUUCAGCCACAGAUCACUCUAGCUCGUCACUUGGUGAGCACCACAUUGUAAAGAAUCAGGGUGAAUAGCCCCUAGCCUCUGCUCUCUGUGGGGUGCACAGCCUGAGAAAUCGGGAGAGAGGUUUUAAUUGCUCUGGGCUGUGAUCAUCCACUCUCCUUUCCAUCAUUUGGGUGUCCUGAUAGGGAGAACAUUUUUAUUUUUUUUUAUUUAUACAGUUUUAUUGUUGUUGCUUUCUAUUUUUUUCCUCUUUUUAGUCUUUCAUUUUCUUUUCUUUGUUCCCCCUCCCCUCAUUUGGCUUCUUUCCCUCCUCCUCCUCCUCCUCCUCCUCCUCCUCCUUUUCUUCUUCUUUUUGAUGGGGGGCGUACUGGGGAUUGAACUCAGGGGCACUUGACCACUGAGCACAUCCCCAGCCCUAUUUUGUAUUUUAUUUAGAGACAGGGUCUCACUGAGUUGCUUAGGGCCCUGUUUUUGCUGAGCUGUGUUGAACUCUCGAUCCUCCUGACUCAGCCUCCACAGCUGAUGGGAUUACAGGCAUGCUGGCUUUUUUGUUUUCAUUUUAAAUUUUUAAGUCUUUUUAUAUUGUUCUUUCUUCUCCCUUUCUCUCUCCUCUCUCUCCCUCCACGAUGCUGGGGAUUGAGCCUGACCGCGUGCACUUUGGGCAGGUGCUCGGCACUGAUCUACAUUCCCAGCCCAGCCAAGAGGACCUGCGCCUGGCUUCAGUCCCUCUGGAACCUCUGUGGAUACCUCAACUUAAAAAAUAGGGGAAACAAAAGCCACCAGUCAAAGACCUAUUCCCAGAUGGAAACCGCCAGGGAGCUCGGUCACCCACUCCUGGACAGUCAUUCUCCCAGUGACAGCAAAGAGCAAUGACACAGGUGCUGUGAAAACUGCCUGGGCCACGCCCACACACUGUCAGAUCACCUGUCAAUGACAAGAUGAGGCGUGAGCACUACACAGGGGGAGUGGUGAUCCCGGCCCCCACCUCACCACCCGAAGCACCAGGAACGGUGUCAGUGUCAAAACAGACAACAGCACUUCUGGCCCCUUACCACCAGCCGGACAGUCAGUGUCAGAAUUGUUUUCAAGUAACGGCCAAUACCAACAGGGCCUGUGGAAAGUCCCCAUCCCUGGACAGGGGCUUCCACUCCCAUUGUGGACAGCACCCCACAUACUCUACUGUCCACAGCACAUCUCCUUCCAUUACUGAAAUGACUCCACCCUUAGAAAACCACAGAGAAGGUGGGUCACUCAGGUUCUGAGAUGGUUUACAUUAUGUCAAACUCACAAAUCUCAGCCACAGGGGGAUUCCUCUAUGAAGUCCGAUUGGAACUGAACUCAGUACUACACCACAAACUGGCACCUCAAGACCUGUCAUCAGGAGAAGUUUGCUUGUGUGAGGCCUCACACAAAAGUUGAAGAGAUAGCCGUCUCAGCAGGUGCUCCAAUCUCAACACAGAGGCACAAGGAACAUGAAAAAACAAUGCAGUUUGACACCUUCCAAAAGUUCACCCAAAGAUAUGGAACAGGAUGAAAUGCUGAAUAAAUAGCUCAUGAAGGGUGGUUUUUAAAAAAAAAGCUCGAUGAAUUCCAAGAGAAUACAUAUAAACAUGUAUUAAGAAAGACAAUUCAAGAUAUGAAUGAGAAAUCCAGUAAGUCCAAUAAGAGAUAGACAAUUUGAAAAAGAAUCAGACAAAUGUCUCGGAAAUGAAAAGUUCAGUAAGACAGAUUUAAAAACUCAGUUGAAAUUCUCACCAUCAGACUAGCUCAAGUAGAAGAAAAAUAUCAUAGUUUGAAGACAACUCUGAUGAAAUAUUACAUUUAGCCAGAAAAAAAAGGAUGAACAGAGUAUAUGAGAUUUUGGACAUCAUUAAAAGAUGAAGCAUACAUAUUAUUGAGAUGCCUGGGGAGACCUCUAGGCUGAAGGCAUAGAAAACCUAUUCAAUGAAAUAAUAGCAGAAAAUUUCCUGAAUCUUGGGAAAGUCAUGGACAUUUAAGUACAGGAAGUGUUAAGAAUUCUAAAUAGACAUGAAUAGAAAAGAAACUCUCUAUGACAUAUUAUAGUUAAAUUGCCAAUAUUAAAGUACAAAGAAAGAAUAUUAAAAACCGCAAUACAGAAAUGCAAAGUCACCUUUAAGACAAAUCCAUUAGACUAAAAACAUAUUUCUAAGCAGAAAUCGUAAAGGCCAGGAGGAUGUGGAACAAUGUAGUUCAAGUCUUGAAAGAAAAUAACUGCCAAACAAGAUUGCUAUACCCAUAACUUUCAGAAUCAAAUAAGAAAUAAAGACCUUCAAGGUAAGCAUAAACUAAGGGAAUUCAUGACUACAACAGCAUCAAGAAGACAUUUAAGGGACUGUUACCCCAGAAGACAAAGAAAGAUAAAUACAAGAGAGGCACAUGAAAGAAUAAAUCUUACUGGAAGAGAAGACAUACAAAUAAAUAGGAAAAAAUUAAACAUUAUCAAUACAGUAAACCAUCAAACUUCUAUGCUGAGUAAGAGAGUAAGAAAUGAACAUAGAAUAUUCAAAACAACCAGAAGAAAAUCAACAAAAUGACAGGAACAAAUAAAAAUAACAACUCACAUUAACAGAAUCCAUAUUAACAGAAUAGAUAAAAAAGAAAUUUUAAAAAGGAGACCAUAUAAUCAUGUCAAUAGAUACAGAACAAGCAUAUUGCAAAAUUCAACUUCCAAAUUUCUAACAGAAACUCUCAGCAGCCCAGAAAUAGAAGAAAAUUCUACCAACCUGAUGAAGGGCAUCUAUGGAACCCAUAACUGACAUCUUAUAUAUUGAGGAACGUAGAACGCUUGACUCUGAAUAUCUGGUACACAAUAAGGGUUCAUGCCAUUCUAUCAAACAUUAUACUGGAGUUUCUAGCCAGAAAAAUAAUGCAGGAAAGAAAGAAAUCUCAUCUACAUUAUUCAGUAAGAAGUAAAUCUGACUUUAUUUGCAGAUGACAUGUCAUCUGAAUAAAAUUCUAUGGAAUCUAUAGGAAAGAUUCUGAAACCAAUGAAUGAGGUUAACAUGGUUGCAGGAUAUAAGAUUAAUAUACAAAAGCUAGUCCCCUUCUUCCUCCGGGAGAAGU
rnacentral:lncRNA from 1 species